UUAUAGCAAUAAAUGAUCUAGCCACAAGAUGUCCUCAUAAACUAAAUAAUACACACCGAGCAGGAAUAAGGUGUAAACUUAACCUCAUUCACACAUUUAUGUGAUUCUUUAUAGCAGGCAUUGGCAAUGUAAAAAAUGAAUGAAGUUUAAUCCCUGCUCUUAGCGGGUUCAGUGUCUAAAGGAAGAGACAAGUACAAAAACUGCAGAGGAAGAAACUGUUGUAGACAGAAUAAAUACAGGUUUCUUGGAGUAAAGAUAUCUAACUUUUAAAAAUGUAUAUUUCCAGGGAAAAGACAUUAGGAAAGGCUUCCUGGAGAACGACAUCUGAGUCUUGAAGAACAGGCAGGAGUUAUCCAGGUGAAGAUAAGGGAAAAAGCCAGGCAGUUGAAGAAAUAGAACUAAAUACGAGCGGCUUGUAGACAGCAAAGGUCAAAUAAGAGAAUUAAACCAACGGAAGAUGAUGAAGGAAUGUCCUGCCCACCCUCCCAGAGCUAAUAAGUAGUCUUGCUGGGGAAGAGGCCAAUGCAAAGCUAACUUCUUUCUGAUGAGGAAGGGGAGUAGGGAGAGAACCUUGUGAAAAAAACAUCUCAGCCUUGGUAAAGAUGGGCUGUAGGGCACACACUUGUUUAUUCAGUUAUAUCAACAUAGCUAACUCCAUGUUAGAGACCAUGCUGAGCAAUUUGACAUGUGCUGUCUCAGUGCUGCCAAUGUUUGAAGUGAAUACUAUUGUCUCCAUUUUACAGAUGAGAAACUGUCGAAAAGUUUAACUAGGAUGUCUCAGGUUUAACCAUUAUGCAAAACAGCCUACCCUCAAAUAUCACCUGGACUGCUACAGACAACUGGGUUCUGAUUCCUUAGGUGUCUUGGUGAAGAUGGUAUGGAGGCUUUUAUGAUGUCAAGGGGUCAAAAAUUUACCUGCCAUGGCCUAACAAUACAGAGAACUGUCCAGAUGUGUUCAGUCCCAGGAUCCUGCAGGUUGGACAAUUGCAGUAGGUUGGCAAGAACUUUUAUGGCUCAGCACUAUUUGCCACAAUGGGCUCCUCAGUAUAUCAUAACAAUUCUUACAUGUACACACACAUAUACAAUAAUCUGUCCCUUUUAUAUAUGGCCUUAUAUCGUGCUGUCUCUUCCUUGCACUUCAUGCAUUCAUAUGAGUUUAUGCAACUUCGUCUGUGUAAUCCCAGCACUUUGGGAGGCCGAGGCAGGCAGAUCACUUGAGGUCAGUAGUUCAAGACCAGCCUGGCCAACAUGGUGAAACCCUGUAUCUACUAAAAAUACAAAAAUCAGCCAAGCAUGAUGGGGCACACGUAUAAUCCCAACUACUUGGGAGGCUGAGGCAGGAGAAUCCCUUGAGCCUGGGAGGUGGAAGUGGAGGUUAGCCGAGUUCGCACCACUGCACUCCAGCCUAGGCGACAGAGUGAGACUCCGUCUCAAAAAAAAAAAAAAAGACUCAGGUUGCCAUAGCCCCUCACCCUCCCUCUCCCAUCUGAGAUACAAUUCAUCACAAAGAGACACUCCACAUGACACAGAGUCUCUCCUUUCCUCACUUUUUCAGCAAAGAUAGAUAGGGAGAAGGGCUGCCUAAUAACAGCAGUGAAGAUGCUGUUAUUCAUCACUGAGAUGGUCCUUUAUGAAGCUGAGAACCAAGAAUUCUCUUUAAGCCUUGGCAUCUCAGAUCAUUCUGGUCUUUUUUUAAAAGGGUUGCAUUCUGCUGAGCAGUGGGAUAAACAAGCCACUGCCAUCACUGUAACUGCUGCUGGCUGCUAUGCAGCUCACCACCACUGCCUCCACUGCCUCUGCUAAACAGAUAAAGGAAUGUAUGUCUCUGGCUCAGUAAGGGUGUCUGUAAUGGGCCUCAAGCACAGGAGUGUGACAUAUGGUAUGAGAAAAUCUGUGUACAUAAACACGUGAGCCACCCCCAAAAGAAGACUGUCUACAGAAGCACAAAGAAAAACAGACAAUCUUAAUGGAUGACAAUUUUGUAUGUGUAUAUUUGUGAAUAAGGCUGUUUUCAAGCAAUUUUCCCUGACCAUGGAUGUUGCUAACUUUGUGUGUGACACUGCAGAUGACAGGAGGUGUGUCUAAGGACAGUGUAUGAAUGCACCUUCAUAUAAGCAGGAAAGGAGGUAAAAAGACAGGAUGUGGCAGUGUGAUGGGGUAGCAACAGCAACAAACACAGAUGACAUUUAUGUUCAAGGGGCUCUAGAAAGGUAGAUGCUAUAAAAGUACCAUGGUUCAACCAUAUUGCUGUUAUCAGUCCAGCAUUUCUGCUUUAUAAUGUAUGUUUCAGUAGCUUCAUUACACAGGUGGCUUCCGCUUAAUGGUUGAGAGUACUGGCUCUGGAAGCAGACUUAGGCAAGACCCUGAACUGAGGUUUCCCCAUUGAUAGAGAUAAUGUACUGUACUGCCCUUAUAGGGUUUUGUAAAAAUUAAGAUUAAAAUUCAAAUUAGGACAAGGCCUGGUAUAUCACAGGUGAUCAAAACAUUUUAAUUUUGGGAGACUGAGGUGGGAGGAUUGCUUGAGCCCAGGAGUUUGAGACCAGCCUGGGCAACACAGCAAGACCCCAACUCUAGAAAAAUUUUUUAAAAUUAGCCAGGCAUGGUGGCAUGUGCCUGCAGUCCCAGCUCCGAGGGAAGCUGGGGUGGGGAGGAUCGCUUGAGCCCAAGAGGUCAAGGUUACAGUAAGCUGUGAUCGUGCCACUGCACUACAGCUUGGCUGACAGAGUGAGACCCUGUCCCCAAAACAACACCACUUUAAUUUGCAUCCUUAUUAUAAAAACUAUUAUCAAACAGAAACUUUGGUUUGUAUAGUUUGGCAUGAAUUUUCUUAAAAUUAUUUCUAUUGCCGAGGUCAACUAUGACCUAACUACAAAACUCAAAGGACCCUUGGCAGCCUCUCUUUCCCUUAAGUGACCUCUCAGCAUUUGGUGACGUCGUGAACUUUUCCUAGCCUUCCCUUAACUCCCAUGACACCACCUCCUCCUGGUUUUCCUCCUACUCUCCCAGCCACUCCCCAGUCUCCUUUGCUGGCUCUUAAGUCUUAGAGUUAACUAGUCGUUCAAAGACCAGACUUGAUACUGGACUCACUCAGAAGGAUAUAGGAUAUAUUUCUCUCCUGAGCUGUUGCAACUGACUUCCAAUUUAUCUCCCUAUUUCUGCCCUUGCCACCAUCCCCAUGUUUAGUCUCAAUAGUAGCUACAAGAAUGCUCCUUUGAAAAUAUAGACUGCUUGACAGAAAACAACAGUGCAAAAGUGAUAUGCCUUCAGCAUGAUCCUUGACUUUAUGUUCAGAUGAAACUAUUGUUAAGUUGAAAGUAUCUCAAUUUAUGAUGGGCUUAUCCCAAUGCGACCUCAUCGUAAGUCAAAGAGCAGCUGUAGAAGUCAAAUUAUGUUACUCAUCUGCUUAAAACCCUCUCUAAUGGGGCCCUCAAACAAUGGAAAGCACAGCAAUGGAAAGUCUGAGGGCCUUUACACCUUCUGUUCCCCUUCCUGGAACACUCUCCUCCUUCAGUAUUCAUGACUUUCUCAGGUCUUUAUUGAAACGUCACUGUUUCAGUGAUAUCUUUCCAGAUAAGAUUUAAAAUUGAAUUCUUAAAAAAAGAACUUACAGGAAUACACAUCUUGGGGCAGGGUGGGGGGUGGAUUUAAGUUCUCCUGCACCAAUACUCUCUAUCUUCCACCUUUAUUUUCCUUUAUAGCAAUUAUCACCAUCUAACAUACUAUAUAUUCUCUUUACCUAUUUUGUUUAGUGUUUGAUUUGCUCCACUAAAAUAGAACUUCCAUUGCGUGCAGGCGUUUUUGUCAGUUGUGUUCACUGAUGUAUCUCCAGUACCUAGACUAGGAAUGUUUUAGUAGCUAAAUACAUUCCUAAAGGAAUGUAUGUCUCUGGCUCAGUAAGGGUGUAGGCACAUAGUAGGCACUCAAAUAUUUGUUGAGUGAAUGAAUACACUGAAACCUGAAGGUCAACAAGGAGCAUUCUAUAACAAUAUGCCCAAUAUUUAGUGGCUUCAGCAACUAACUGAACAAACUAUGGGGAGAAUCUUCUAUGUAAAAGGCAUUCAACUGGGCACCUUCCACUAGGCACUAAAGUUCCCUUUGACAAAUGGUUAUUAAGCAUAUGGACUUGGCUCCCAAGGAAAAAGUAUAGAGGGAAGACAAACAAAUCAGCAGAUAUUUUCAAUAAUAUACAGAAAGUUCUAUAACAAAAGUUAGUCAAGGUGUAGAAGUAGAUCAGAGGAAGACAUUUGGGGCUGCCAGGGAAGCCUUCUCAGAGAUAGCAGGUGUCACCUGCAAAGGACUUUGAAGGAUAAGUGAAAAUGGCAGGCAAAUGGGGCAAGGGUAGAGGAUCCAAAGGUGAGUACGAUGUUGCCCUAAUCCUCAGGGAGUGUACAAAACAGCAAGGGUUAUAAGAGAAGGCCAAAAAUAACAAGAGUUGGCAAACUAAUGCCAUGGGAAGCAAAACAAAGCCCUAGGGAAGAGCAAACAGGAAUUAAAUUAAAUAUUCCCUGAAGGUUAGUUAGCUAAGCUUAAGUAACACUCUUUUUGUUCACUGAGAUAGUGGUGGUGGUGACAGAUAUGCUACAAAAGAAUAAAAACAAUUACUAUCCCACUAAAACAAAGUUUAAUGAUUAAAAAAGAAAUCACUAUAUUUUUCUUCCCCAAAGGCUGGUAAGUGGCAGAUUUUAUUGAAUCAUUCUGGAAUGCCUAUAAAGGUGGGUGCUCUGAAGGCCUCUAUCACAUGGAUCUUAUUGGCAAGACUUCUCUGAUACACAGGUUCUCUACUGCCUUGAACCUGGGAAAAGGGGGCUGACAGGGAAGGAGCCUUUCUUAUCCUGUCUUCCAUAGAUUGAGGAUUUGGGAAAUGCUUGUUCACACUUCCAGUUCUCCUUUAAAGAGGGAAAGCGCAAAUUGUGUAGAAUUUUUGCAAUUGAGCUUCAGUUUGGAAUCUAGUACGGUAGUUCCCAGGAGGGGAUGAUGCUCUGAAGGAAUGCAAAUCUGGCAAAUCAAGGCCAGGGGAACAGCCCAUUAGUCAUACAAAACAAAACAGGCACAAAGAAGUUUAAAUCAUCUCUGUUCACUUUGUAUGCUACAAAGUCCUGGAACUCCUAGGAUGGCCAAGUAAAAACUACAGUUUUUUCUUAGUGCUGUUUUUAAUUCAGCAGUAGCUCAGAGGAUCUACAUAGAAAGAACUAAAUCUUGACUAUGUUCCAUGGCAGAGAAAAUGUAUUCAUCAUUUCUCUUGAAAUUGGUCAUCCAUUCACUACUGCUAAAAUUAAUUAAUUUUAUAAAAUACUUAUAUUUGCUGUGAGUUUAUGCCACAUUCCUUUCCUCUAAAAUAUGAAUAACUCUUGAGUUCAUUACUUCACUAAUUGUAUGCUGAUUCCUUCAAUCCUAUCUCUGCGCCAUCUAACUUACUGUUUUUAUUAGAUUUUUAAUUAUAAAAAUAAAAACAUUCAUUUUACAUAUA